rnacentral:lncRNA from 1 species
UUGGGUAAGGGCAAAUUUGGCAAAGCCUAAUUAAAGAUAAUCAAAACAAAACAAAAUAAAAACAAAACACAUCUCAGAUCCAUUAAAACAAAACAAGCGUAAGGAACAUGAAAACAAAACUUUCUCAGACAAAUCUCAGAUUCUCCACCUCUAUGAAAACCAAGCCCCUCCAUCGAUGCCCCGUCGCCGAAUCCUCUGGCGACCACGACAAUGAUUCCACCCACAACCACCGCAACUAUUAUGUCGACGCCUCCAUCUCCGACGAGUAAAUCAUUGAAGAACAUGACGUAGAAGAAGCACCCAUCUCACUUCAUCUCAGAUCCUUCAAAUCCAAGCCCAUAUAUAAUUCCAACAAGAACAAAACUACUUACCCAGAAAUCAUCCUGCUUUCUUCUUCCGAUUGGAUGCUCCAAGGCUCCACCGACGUGAUAUUCUUUUAAUUGAAAAAUCAACAGAUCGACUUCUUUUUCACCUUUCUCUUUCUCUCUCCUCUACAUAUUUAGAUCUAUAUUUGGGUUAAUAUGAACAAGUUGAGGCUGAUUUUGGAACAUGAUUAUUAGUGUUCAUUGUAUUGUUGUCUGUGUGAUUUCAUUUUUCUUACAGUAAUUAUAUGAAAUCAAAUAUGCAUACAAAUGAUUUAUCAUAAUAUACUUCAGCUUCCUUUUGCUCAUCAGUUUUAUUAUGAGUUGUUUAUUAUCUUGUGAGUUGGUUCUUCAGUUCAAAUGAAUAAGAUUUGAUUUUUG